ACGUACACUCCUACGGGAGGCAGCAGUGAGGAAUAUUGGACAAUGGGUGGAAGCCUGAUCCAGCCAUCCCGCGUGCAGGAAGACGGCCCUAUGGGUUGUAAACUGCUUUUAUCUGGGGAUAAACCUACUUACGUGUAAGUAGCUGAAGGUACCAGAAGAAUAAGCACCGGCUAACUCCGUGCCAGCAGCCGCGGUAAUACGGAGGGUGCAAGCGUUAUCCGGAUUUAUUGGGUUUAAAGGGUCCGUAGGCGGACUGAUAAGUCAGUGGUGAAAUCCGACAGCUUAACUGUCGAACUGCCAUUGAUACUGUUAGUCUUGAGUAAGGUUGAAGUGGCUGGAAUAAGUAGUGUAGCGGUGAAAUGCAUAGAUAUUACUUAGAACACCAAUUGCGAAGGCAGGUCACUAAGUCUUAACUGACGCUGAUGGACGAAAGCGUGGGGAGCGAACAGGAUUAGAAACCCUAGUAGUCCCAU
rnacentral:rRNA from 1 species